GCAAACUUGGUCAUUUAGAGGAAGUAAAAGUCGUAACAAGGUAACCGUAGGUGAACCUGCGGUUGGAUCAUUACAAAAAUACACCACACUCUUGUGGAGUACAUCUUUGUGAACCUUGAGAAGCAGGACACUGCUUAGCACAACGGGAAGAUUUUCAACUUGUUGUGCCUUCUGUUAUGGGUGAUUCGUUGUCCUUUGUUGUGAAGGAUAAACCACGCCAGUUUGUUGGAUCGUCUGAUUGGACAAUCUGGUUGUGCCCUGCAGUGUGUAAAGCCUUUUCAAAGAGCCUUACUCCUGUACUACAAGGGGGGUCCCCAAACUUAAACUUGAAUCAAUUUUUUUUGAAUUUGUUUUUUUAUUUCUAUGCAAAUAAAAAAAAUACAACUUCUGACAACGGAUCUCUUGGGUCGGGCAUCGAUGAAGAACGCAGC
rnacentral:misc_RNA from 1 species